rnacentral:rRNA from 1 species
GAUGAACGCUGGCGGCGUGCCUAAUACAUGCAAGUCGAGCGAACAGACGAGGAGCUUGCUCCUUUGACGUUAGCGGCGGACGGGUGAGUAACACGUGGAUAACCUGCCUAUAAGACUGGGAUAACUUCGGGAAACCGGAGCUAAUACCGGAUAACAUGUUGAACCGCAUGGUUCAACAGUGAAAGACGGUCUUGCUGUCACUUAUAGAUGGAUCCGCGCCGCAUUAGCUAGUUGGUAAGGUAACGGCUUACCAAGGCAACGAUGCGUAGCCGACCUGAGAGGGUGAUCGGCCACACUGGAACUGAGACACGGUCCAGACUCCUACGGGAGGCAGCAGUAGGGAAUCUUCCGCAAUGGGCGAAAGCCUGACGGAGCAACGCCGCGUGAGUGAAGAAGGUCUUCGGAUCGUAAAACUCUGUUAUUAGGGAAGAACAAAUGUGUAAGUAACUAUGCACGCCUUGACGGUACCUAAUCAGAAAGCCACGGCUAACUACGUG